UACAGAGGUCCCAAGCGUUGUUCGGAUUCACUGGGCGUAAAGGGUGCGUAGGCGGUCGGGUAAGUCUGAUGUGAAAUCUCACAGCUUAACUGUGAAACUGCAUUGGAUACUAUGCGGCUCGAGGAAUGGAGGGGAGACUGGAAUACUUGGUGUAGCAGUGAAAUGCGUAGAUAUCAAGUGGAACACCAGUGGCGAAGGCGAGUCUCUGGACAUUUCCUGACGCUGAGGCACGAAAGCCAGGGGAGCAAACGGG
rnacentral:rRNA from 1 species